rnacentral:other from 1 species
GCGUUCCUGCUCCGUUCGUGAUAUGAUGAGUUUAUAAACCUACAAGAUACAAACGGAGCCCGGACUUCUUCUGCGGGUAUGCAGACCUCCCGACUCGGCCGACUUUGUUCCGCCGAAAUCGGACGUUGGUAGCACAAAACAGGAGAGAGGGCACCACCCUUGCUCAGGCAGGGUUUAUCUUUUCUCGUUGUACACGGCGGCGCGGGGAUCAG